UUUGAACUUAGUGGCGGACGGGUGAGUAACGCGUGGGCAACCUGCCUUAUACAGGGGGAUAACAGUUGGAAACGACUGCUAAUACCGCAUAAGCGCACAGUACCGCAUGGUGCAGUGUGAAAAGGAGCAAUCCGGUAUAAGAUGGGCCCGCGUCUGAUUAGCUGGUUGGCAGGGUAACGGCCUACCAAGGCGACGAUCAGUAGCCGGCUUGAGAGAGUGACCGGCCACAUUGGGACUGAGACACGGCCCAAACUCCUACGGGAGGCAGCAGUGGGGGAUAUUGCACAAUGGGGGAAACCCUGAUGCAGCGACGCCGCGUGAGUGAAGAAGUACUUCGGUAUGUAAAGCUCUAUCAGCAGGGACGAAGAAUGACGGUACCUGACUAAGAAGCCCCGGCUAACUACGUGCCAGCAGCCGCGGUAAUACGUAGGGGGCAAGCGUUAUCCGGAUUUACUGGGUGUAAAGGGAGCGUAGACGGUGACGUAAGUCAGAUGUGAAAGCCCAGGGCUCAACUCUGGGACUGCAUUUGAAACUAUGUUGCUAGAGUGCAGGAGAGGUAAGUGGAAUUCCUAGUGUAGCGGUGAAAUGCGUAGAUAUUAGGAGGAACACCAGUGGCGAAGGCGGCUUACUGGACUGUAACUGACGUUGAGGCUCGAAAGCGUGGGGAGCAAACAGGAUUAGAUACCCUGGUAGUCCACGCCGUAAACGAUGUUUACUAGGUGUUGGGGCACAAAAGUGCUUCGGUGCCGGCGCAAACGCAUUAAGUAUCCACCUGGGGAG
rnacentral:rRNA from 1 species